rnacentral:rRNA from 1 species
AGCCCGCAGAUGGGCACUGAGACAAGGGCCCAGGCCCUACGGGGCGCAGCAGUCGCGAAAACUCCGCAAUGCGCGAAAGCGUGACGGGGCUACCCCGAGUGCCGUCCGCUGAGGAUGGCUUUUCCCCGGUGUAAUGAGCCGGGGGAAUAAGGAGAGGGCAAGCCUGGUGUCAGCCGCCGCGGUAAAACCAGCUCUCCGAGUGGUAGGGACGAUUAUUGGGCUUAAAGCGUCCGUAGCCGGCCUGGCAAGUCUCCCGUUAAAUUCAGCGACUUAAUCGUUGGGCCGCGGGAGAUACUGUUGGGCUAGGAGGCGGGAGAGGUCGACGGUAUUCUCGGGGUAGGGGUGAAAUCCUAUAAUCCCGGGAGGACCACCAGUGGCGAAGGCUGUCGGCUAGAACGCGCUUGACGGUGAGGGACGAAAGCUGGGGGAGCGAACCGGAUUAGAUACCCGGGUAGUCCCAGCUGUAAACGAUGCGGGCUAGGUGUUGGGGUGGCUAUGAGCCACUUCAGUGCCGCAGGGAAGCCAUUAAGCCCGCCGCCUGGGGAGUACGGCCGCAAGGCUGAAACUUAAAGGAAUUGGCGGGGGAGCACCACAAGGCGUGAAGCUUGCGGUUU